GAUGAACGCUGGCGGCGUGCCUAAUACAUGCAAGUCGAGCGAAUGGAUUAAGAGCUUGCUCUUAUGAAGUUAGCGGCGGACGGGUGAGUAACACGUGGGUAACCUGCCCAUAAGACUGGGAUAACUCCGGGAAACCGGGGCUAAUACCGGAUAACAUUUUGAACCGCAUGGUUCGAAAUUGAAAGGCGGCUUCGGCUGUCACUUAUGGAUGGACCCGCGUCGCAUUAGCUAGUUGGUGAGGUAACGGCUCACCAAGGCAACGAUGCGUAGCCGACCUGAGAGGGUGCGCGGCGUAGCUGAGACGGGAACGCGGCCGGGACUCCUGGGAGAGGGAGCAGGAGGAAAUCCUCCGGGGAGGAGGAAGGGCGGACGAAGGAACGCUGGGGGAGAGAUGGAUGCAGUCGGGUCGUGUGACUCAGUAAGUAGGGAAGAACGAGUGGUAGUUGAAUAAGCGAAGACAAUGACGGUACCUAACCAGGAAGCCACGGCUAACUACGUG
rnacentral:rRNA from 1 species